rnacentral:sRNA from 1 species
AUCGGCCAUUUGCUUCGCUCCGCCCCGCAGCGCCGGAGUCAAAGCCGGUUCCCGGCCCGGUCCCGUCCUCAGGGAGUUCUGUCCUUCUGGCGCGGUAACCUGGCCAAUGUCAUCAGAUACUUCCCCACCCAGGCUCUUAACUUCGCCUUCAAAGAUAAAUACAAGCAGAUCUUCCUGGGUGGUGUGGACAAGAGAACCCAGUUUUGGCGCUACUUUGCAGGGAAUCUGGCAUCCGGUGGUGCCGCAGGAGCCACAUCCCUGUGUUUUGUGUACCCUCUUGAUUUUGCCCGUACCCGUCUAGCAGCCGAUGUGGGUAAAGCUGGAGCUGAAAGGGAAUUCCGAGGCCUCGGUGACUGCCUGGUUAAGAUCUACAAAUCUGAUGGGAUUAAGGGCCUGUACCAAGGCUUUAACGUGUCUGUGCAGGGUAUUAUCAUCUACCGAGCCGCCUACUUCGGUAUCUAUGACACUGCAAAGGGUAAGUUU